UUAAAUUAGGGUUAGAUACCCUAUUAUAUUAUAUGUAAAAUUGAGGUUUGGGUAGUAGUAGAUAAGAUCUUGAAAUCCAAAGAAUUUGGCGGUAUUUUAGUCUAUUUAGAGGAAUCUGUCCCAUAAAUGAUAAUACACGAUUAGUUAUACUUGUAAUUGUUAACAAUUUGUAUACCGCCGUCGUAAGAGUAUAUUGUGAAGAGUAUAAAUUUUCUUUAUUUGUAAGUAUAGAUUAAGUCAGGUCAAGGUGCAGUUUAUUUACAAGUGGAGAUGGAUUACAUUGAAUUUAUUUAUACGGAUGAUUUAUUUAAAUGUGAGGUUGAAGGUGGAUUUAAUUGUAAAUAAGAUUAUAUUGUCUUAUUGAUUAUAGCUCUAGAAUGUGUACAUAUCGCCCGUCGCUCUCUUUAUAAAAUGAGAUAAGUCGAAACAUAGUAA
rnacentral:rRNA from 1 species